rnacentral:lncRNA from 1 species
CUACGAUUGAGCCUGAAUCAUGGCAGUUUUAAUUUCUAUUUGUUUGUUAUUACAGAUCCUUACAACUCCCUCCAGAAGCCUGGCUACGAUUGAGCCUCAACCAUGACAGUUUAACUUUCUAUUUGUAUGUUAUUACAGAGCCUUACAACUCCCUCCAGAAGCUUGGUUACGAUUGAGCCUCAAUCAUGGCAGUAUAACUUGGAUUACUGUACGACCAUCUGGCCGUGUUGGACUUCGGACCUUAGGGGAAAGUGGAUUUAUGCCUGCUGAUGUCACAUCGGUUAUGUGAUGAUAACUAAAGACUAGUGAGUGCAAAAUUCAGUUGACAAAGAAGACAUCAGUGUAUAGUACUUUGUGAAAAAUAAAUCUCAAUUUGUCUGAUCAGAAUAAUUUAUAUUUAUUACUAUAUUGUGAAAUAACCUUUUGUAGUAAAAUCAAUAAAAGCAACUAUUAAAGGUAGAUAGUUUAAUCAAUCAAUCCUUCAUCUGUUUAUUUUGUUCAUAGCCAAUUGAAUAUAGAGUAGAAACACUUUUAAUUCUGACAAGCAAAUCAAGUGAUAAAAUUGAGAGUGGAAA